rnacentral:rRNA from 1 species
CCCUUAGAUGUCCUGGGCCGCACGCGCGCUACACUGACAUGUUCAACAAGCCUCCUAGUUCGACAGGAUUUGGGAAAUCUUUGAACGCAUGUCGUGAUAGGGAUAGAUCAUUGCAAUUAUUGAUCUUGAACGAGGGAUUCCUAGUAAACGCGAGUCAUCAGCUCGCAUUGAUUACGUCCCUGCCCUUUGUACACACCGCCCGUCGCACCUACCGAUUGAAUGUUUCGGUGAAGAUUCCGGAUAGGACUUUUUUGAUUUAUUUCAAUUUUGUCUUAAAAGCUAUCUAAACCUCAACAUUUAGAGGAAGGUGAAGUCGUAACA